rnacentral:sRNA from 1 species
AUGUACCGACGUACACACCGGUUCCUCCGCGCCGUCCGCACCCACCUGACGACUGCUCGCUACGUUUUGUUAGCC